rnacentral:lncRNA from 1 species
CUCCCCUGUUAGGGUUCCCAGGCUUGAUGAUGAGAUAGAAAAGGAAAACCCAUUUUCUGGAGAGAAAUUCAAGUCAGCUGCAGAAAUUUGCAUAAGUAAAGAGGAGCUGAAUGUUAAUCACCAAGACAAUGGGAAAAUGUCUUCAGGGCAUGUCAGAGACCUUCAAGGCAACUCAAACCAUCACAGGCCAGGAGGCCUAGGAGGAAAAAAAUGGUUUCAUGGGCCCAGUGCAGGGACUUGCUGCUCUGUGCAGUCUCAGGACUUGGUGCCCUGUGUCCCAAUCAUGGCUAAAGGGCCAAUGUACAGCUCAGGCCAUGGCUUCAAAGGGUAAAGGCCCCAAGCCUUGGCAGCUUACAUGAGGCGUCGGGCCUGUGGGUGCACAGAAGUCAAGAAUUGAGGUUUGGGAACCUACACCUAAAUUUCAGAGGAUGCAUGGAAACGCCUGGGUGUUCAGGCACAAAUUUGUGAUGGGGACGGAGCCCUCAUAGGGAACCUCUGCUAGGGCAGUGACUGCAGAAGGGAAAUGUGGGGUCAGAGCCCCCACACAGUCCCCACUGGGGCACUGCCUAGUGGAGCUGAGAGAAGAGGGCCACCAUCCUCCAGACUCCAGAAUGGUGGACACACUGACAGCUUGCACCGUAUUGCCUGGAAAAGCCACAGACACUCAGCACCAGCCUGUGAAAGCAGCCAGGAGGAGGGCUGUACCCUGCAAAUCAACAGGGGUGGAGCUGCCCAAGGCCAUGAGAGCCCACCUCUUGCUUCAGUGUGACCUGGAUGUGAGACACGAAGUCAAAGGAAACCAUUACAGAGCUUCAAGAUUUGACUGACCCAUUGAAUUUUGGACUUGCAUGGGGCCUGCAGUCCCUUCAUUUUGGCCAAUUUCUCCCAUUUGGAACAGGUGUAUUUACCCAAUGCCUAUAUCCUCAUUGUAUCUAUGAAGUAACUAACUUGAUUUUGAUUUUACAGGCUCAUAGGAAGAAGGGCCUUGCCUUGUCUAAGAUAAGACUUUGGACUUGGACAUUUUGGUUAAUGCUGGAAUGAGCUAAGACUUUGGGGGACUGUUAGAAAGGCAUGAUCAUGUUUUAAAAUGUAAGGACAUGAGAUUUGGAAGGGGCUGGGAGCAGAAUGAUAUGGUUUGGCUGUGUUCCCACCCAAAUCUCACCUUGAAUUGUAGUUUCCAUAAUCCCUACAUGUUGUGGGAGUAACCCAGUUGGAGGUAAUUGAAUCAUGGGGGUGGUUACCCCAUGCUGGUCUCAUGACAGUGAGUGAUACCUGAAGGUUUUAUAAGGGGCUUUUCCCCUUUUGCUCAGCACCUCCUGCUGCCUUGUGAACAAGGUGACUUGAUUCUUGUUUGCAUUCACCAUGAUUCUAAGUUUUCUGAAGCCUUCCCAGCCAUGCUGAACUGUGAGUCAAUUAAAC